AUUGACGUGUUAUUAUUUUGCGCUAAUCCAGUAAUAUGAUCUCCGACAUUCAGUUAGCUGUGUUCUCCAACAUCCUGGGUGUAUCCAUCUUUCUGCUGGUCAUCCUCUACCAUUAUAUCAACGCAAAUAGUUCUAAAUAAAUAUGUGCACAACUAUUAACAUUUUUUAUUCUACACAACAUUCUGCAAUUUACUUUAAGAUGUAAAUAAAAUCGCCUUAUAA
rnacentral:misc_RNA from 1 species